rfam:Ipomoea nil DNA, scaffold: scaffold2360, cultivar: Tokyo-kokei standard.
AGCCAUGCAGUGAGCACAUAGUGAACUAUUCUUUUGCCUUUUACUAAAGAAUACCGUGUGCUUGUUGCAAUGAAUGUCAUACUCUAAUUUUUAAAGGUGUUUCUCUUAUGGAGAAAC